UUUGUCAGCGCAGCCCGGCGCUAUGGCAUCCUGCUGGGGCUUCAGGCUCGGACUCUUCUUCCUCCUCCUCCUCCUCCUCGCUGGAAAGCGGCUGCUGCAGCGGCAGAACCAGCCGUGACGGCCGCGCUCUCCGGGCAAGAGGCAGGCGGAGCCCGCAGAAGUGGAAGGCUAAACAAAAAAAAAUACACUUAAGCCAUGGAGUCCAACCAGGAAUCCUCGCUUUUCCUGGUGAAGAUCUUGGAGGAGCUGGACACAAAGCAAAAUACAGUUUCUUACCAGGACCUCUGCAAGUCCCUGUGUGCAAGGUUUGAUUUAUCCCAGUUGGCCAAGCUCAGAAGUGUGCUGUUUUACACUGCUUGCCUGGAUCCUAAUUUCCCAGCGACUUUGUUCAAAGACAAAAUGAGAUGCACUGUAAACAAUCAGCAAUCAAAGAAAAUCAUGGUUGCAGCAGAUAUAGUAACAAUAUUCAACCUCAUACAAAUGAACGGGGGAGUGGCCAAGGAGAAACUUCCAGUUGCAAGGCAGAAAGUGAAGAAGAAAGAGUCCUUCGAGUCCUGUAGAUCUGACACGGAAGUCUGCAAUAUGGCAGACUGCGUGCCCAACUGCGAGCUGAAUGACCAGGAGUUUAACCGGGGCUUUCCAGUGAGAAGGUCUUCAAAAUGCAGAAAGAUGGACUGCAAAGACUGUCAACAGUUUGUCCCCUCGUCAGAACCCAACUUUUUGCUUGGCGUUAAUAAGGAGAUGAAGGGCCGGGCUGCCUCUCUGGACAGGCUACAGGCGCUGGCGUCCUACUCCAUCGCCACGUCUCCACCAUGCGAGAUGCAGAGUACGUACUUCCCCAUGAACAUUGAAAAUGAAUCUAUUUCAGACCAGGACUCCUUGCCUAUAAGUGCAGGCAUAAAAGAAACCUUCAUUUCAAACGACGAGCCAUUUGUGAUGCAGUCGUGUGUCCAGAAAAGAAAUAUAUUCAAAGAAGAUUUUCAUAAUCUGAUUACAAUAUCUCCCAACUUAAUACCAUCCAACAAAAAGCCAGAAGAUGGACACAGAGAGCCUCAGAACAGGAAAGAAAGCUCUAAGCAGGCUUUCUUCAACCACAGCUUUGAAAUGCCAUACAGCAGCCAGUACUUGAAUCCAGUUUAUUCUCCUAUACCAGACAAAAGACGAGUGAAGCAUGAAAGUUUAGAUGAUCUUCAAGCUUCAACGUAUUUUGGUCCAACUACUAUUCUUGGGCCCCAGGACACCAAAAAGUGGACUGGAAAGCCAACCAAGCAAACUGCAUGGCCAGCUAAAAGCUGGAGUUUAAACACUGAGGAGGUACCUGACUUUGAACGAUCAUUUUUUAAUAGGAAGCAGUCUGAAGAGAAGCCGCGAUACCAGAGUUCGAACAACCCAUCUCCAAACUUUCCUUCAGCUGACAGGCAUCAGUCCUACCUAAACGCAAAGGAUCAGCAACCAAUUAUGCAGGCAAACUAUGCCGUGAAACCAAAUGGGCAUAAACCCAAGGAAAUUCCUUCCAUUCUAGAUGUGGAGAAGCAUGAGCCAGUCAAAAAGUUUAAGGAUAAAAGCAUUAAUUGUUCUUCUGUUCAGAUCUUAAGCAUUGACAGGACCACGAGUGUUGGGACACAAACAGAGCAGCAAGUUCUGGACCACAAGAAAUGCAAGGAUUUGUGUGCGGCGGGCCAAGCCAAGUACGGAGAGCGGCACUCUCUUAAGCAGUCGGAUGAUGACUCUGAAAUCGUGAGCGAUGACAUCAGUGACAUUUUCCGGUUUUUGGAUGACAUGAGUAUCAGUGGGUCGACGGGAGUGAUGCAGUCUUCAUGCUACAACAGUACUGGUUCCUUGUCUCAGGUGCAUAAAUCAGACUGUGAGAGCUCACCUGAGCACAAUUUGACUAAAAUCUCCAACGGGAGUGCCUGUAACAAAUUGGAUAAAGUGGUCCGGGCAGACAUCAGUAACACAGAUGAUGAACUGAAAACGAGUGUCUGCAAAUUAGUUUUGAGGAUUGGCGAAAUAGAGAAGAAACUGGAAUCUCUCUCAGGCGUCCGAGAAGAAAUCUCCCAAGUCCUGGGAAAAUUGAGCAAGUUGGAUCAAAAAAUUCAGCAGCCAGAGAAGGUCAGCGUACAAAUAGAUCUCAAUUCUUUGACAAGUGAUGCUGCAUCAGAUGAGAGUAACUCCCCGCAGAUAUUUCAGUGCCACAAUACUCCUCAUGGAGGCAAACUAGAGAAUAAUCCAGAAUGGUGCUGUUCAGACGCCAGUGGAAGUAAUAGCGAGAGUCUUCGAGUAAAAGCCUUAAAAAAAAGUUUAUUUACUAGGAGGUCAUCAAGAUCAUUAACAGAGGAAAAUAGUGCAACUGAGUCCAAAAUAGCAAGUAUUUCAAACUCUCCCCGAGACUGGAGAGCUAUUACUUACACCAACCAAGUUGGCAUUACAGAAGAGGAGAUGAAAGAGAGAGAUGGAGGAGAAAAUAAGGACUGGCACAGGAAAUCUAAAGAGGCAGACAGGCAAUAUGAAAUCCCACAGCCACAUAGACUCCCUAAACAACCAAAAGAUGCUUUCUUGAUUGAACAAGUCUUUAGUCCUCAUCCCUACCCUGCAUCACUCAAGUCACACAUGAAAAGCAACCCGCUGUACACAGACAUGAGGUUGACAGAGCUGGCUGAAGUGAAACGCGCCCAGCCGUCAUGGACCAUAGAGGAAUACACGAGGAAUUCGGGGGAUAAAGGCAAGAUUGCAGCACUGGAUCUGCAAACUCAAGAAUCUUUAAACCCAAACAACUUAGAAUACUGGAUGGAAGACAUUUAUACUCCUGGCUAUGAUUCCUUAUUAAAACGCAAAGAAGCUGAGUUCAGAAGAGCAAAGAAUCAGAGACUGAUGAGAAUCCAGGCAAAAGAGGAAGGUUGUCUGAGCUGUGUUGCAUUUAACGGAGAUGCUGCAGGAUGGAGUCACAGCAGGGAGGGAGCAAUUCACACUGUCUAUUUUAGGCUGCCUUCACUUAUGGUGUGAUUCAGAGCACCUGAGUUUAGGAGCUCAGGAUCCGUAUGUAGUAAAUAUAGACAGGUAGAGAAACCUCCGGGGAUGAUUUGGAGCCGCCAGCAAGAUAUCUAAUAUUAGACAUGUGAAUACGCUCCGGAGGGCAUUGCUCUGCGGUUUACCUUAUGCACAAUUUAGGUUGAUUGUAUAUGUAAAAAAAUCUAUUCCUGGUUCCAGGUAAUGUCAGAAAGCCUUUUUACACCCCUCCUUGGCCCGGCGAUAGCAAGCAUGAGGUGCUGUCGGGAAGAGCAGUGUGGCCCGUGGUGGCACAGCGUCAGUCCCCCGUCUGCCCACGCCGGUGGUGACGAGUCCCUCAGAGGGGCAGGAUGAGUGUGGGACGGACACCGGGCAGACCCCCCGCCUUCACCAACCCCCCCUCCGCUAGCACAAGCGGUCUGACCCUGCUGGCCCCCAACCCGAAAUCAGCAGCACUUCCUCCGCUGCAUUUCAGUAAUCUGAUUUUAGAAAAUACCUGAAUAUCUGGGUGGAGAUGUGAGAAGGGUGCAGGAGAUGUUAUUGACUACAGGGGCGGGCUGGGGCUGUGCUGGCACUGAUGCAUUAGAGGAGAUGUAAGGACCCCUGUUUUGUCUGUGCAGGGAUUUUUAUUGUCUCCCGCUGGCACCAGAUGAAGCUUUGCAUUAGAGAGACCCAAAAUUCUGGGAAGGAUUUGGCAGGUUAUGGAGCCAUGGGUGACAUGGAGCUGGCCCAGCCCGAGCACUCAGCAUCCCCAAACAUCCAUGCCGCUCCUAAUUUAUCGAGGUGCUUUUGCCCAUCCUUACUUUGCACAAGCAGGCAGUGGCACCCACCUCCAUCGGGGCAGUGGUUUCCCUGCACGCCAGACCGUGGUUCAUCACAGACCUCCCUCUCGGGGCUUGGUUUGGCUCCCGCAGCCUCUGGGAGCAUCUCCAUGGUGCCAGGAGCCCGAGGGGAGCGGGGAAAGCAGAGCCCGGCUCCCUGCCUCCCCGCUCCACAAAUACCUCCGGGAGCCGCUGCCUCGCCGUCUCCUCUGCUCCCCGGCUGCCUCCGGCAGCUCCUUGGCACCACUGGGAUGUGCAUCCCUAGCUGUUCCCAGCGGGUUUUACAUCUGGCACUGAGCUCUUCGCUUAAAAUAGGUAAGGAGAUGGAGCGGUGGGAUGCUGCCGCCGGAGGAGGGAAGGAGGGGCCCUGCGGUUCUGCACAGAGUAUACAAGCUAGGUGAAAUCCUGAGAAUAUUAACCUGCAAGAAUAUUGUGAUCAACCUUGUGAACCAGUUAUCAACUAGUAUAUACUGUAUACUAUACGAUAGACUUUUGUAUAAAAAAAAUAAAAUAAAAAAAUUAAAGCUAUAGGUACAGUGUAAUCCUUGGUGUGAUUGAAAAAAGUGACCUAGAUUGUAGUACUUAAUUAAAAUAAUGAGCAUAUUGAACUGUUUUUCGUAUUUAUGCCUUAUAAACUUGAUAUAUUACACAUGAUAAAACGAAACUGCAAGAAUUAUAAAAAAGAUACUCCAUUUUGGGGGCAAAUCCCAUUUGCUUUUCCUAAAACAAGAGUGCUGCUUGAAAUCAGCUCAAUAAAUCAUAUGUGCAGAAGAGCAAGAGCAGGAUCUGUCCCCAAAUGACUUUUUAGGAUUUUUUUUUUUUUAAUGGGGCUUUGGUUAAUGUACUAUGUAAUAAUUUUAUUUUAUAAAGUUACUGUACAAUGUUGCCUUUUGGUUCAUUUAAAUAUAAUAACAAAUAAACUUGAAAAUUACAGCGUCCUAAGUUUUAAUGAAACAGUUAUAAUAAUUUAUUACUCCAUUGCUUUUCCUCUUUUUUUUUUUUUCCAGGGACAUCAAGAUAGCCAUGGGAUGUGAGUGUCUCAGUGUUAAAUAACUAAGCAGCCUAUCUAGUUCUUGGCAGAAUUGCUAAUGGAUUUCUCACUUGUGAAAUAAUAAGAUGGCAGAAGAUAAUGAAAAAUGAGUUUGUUGGGUUUCUUUUAAAAGCUCCUUUGCAUCACGUUGUGUGGGCUUCUGGGAGAUUAGCUCUUGACACUAAUCAUAAUAUUUCAUUUUAUAGGUUAUUUCAUGACUGAGUUUUGCCAGAUCAACUCUUUUAACAAGAUAUAGCUUUGAUGAAUGGCUCUGCCUGAUGCACAAAAGAGUCACAAGCAAAAUAUUGGAUCUUGGGGCUGUAUUCUGCCCUCUGAGGUGCUCCUGUGACUCCAUUCCAUUGAAUCUGCACAUGGAAGAAGAGAAAGUAGCCUGUAGCCUGUUCGUAACAGUGUGGUCCUACUGAAAGAAAAGGUCACUUGUGUUGGUGUGCAUGUUGGGAAAAGGCAAGCGCCUGUGGAAGGAAUUAUAAAGAUGAGGUACUUUCUUUCAUCUGAUUUUUUUCUUUGUUAUCUUUUUAGGAAAGAGCAUUAUAUCUUAUAAAGUGCUGUUCUGCUAUUAGUUCUCCAGCAAGCUUGGUCACUUCGGAUGAUUUCUGGGACCAUGGACCACUCGAUCUCUUGCAGGCUGUUACGUCGAUCUUCACAGUCCACUUAGAAACUGGAAAAAAAUCUCCAAAAAAAGGAAGAAGUGGGCUGCCAGCAGCCAAGCUCCUUCCAUAAUUGCAGGCAGUAAUUUUGCGAUCUAACUCACCAUGGACCCACAAAAGCACCGUGAACUAAAAUAUAUCUAAUAGUGAAGUGGGAAGGAGGUGUCCAAACCGCUGGAGUUCAGGGCUGAGCAUGGAUCUCCCCUCAUACUCCUUUAUCAGCCAGAAGUGGGAGAAGAUACCUGCAAAUAAAGAUGUACGUCGUAUCAGGACCCACUACUGAAAAUGUCCUGAGCGUUCCUGAACUCUCCUUUCAUGCCAUACUCAGCAAAAGCUUGUCACGCUCCUUUCCAGGAAGAUUAGUAUGAACUGAAACACUUGGAAAGCAAUGGUUCUUCACGUGGUUUUGACCCUUUAAGUGAAUUGUAAUCAUGGAAAGGAAGGAACAUCCUGGGGACUGAAGAGCUAUGUUUAGGGCAAGUAAAGGACAGCAUUGCAUGUAUUAUUUUAUCAUCAUGUAUCUCUAAUCUGGAAGAAUUCCUCUACAAAUCUUUAGGAGUAAGAAGGUAAUCUAGUGCCAAGUUUUAUUCAGUGUUUGGCUUGUCUGCUGAGACCAAUGGGAAGAGAUGAGGUUGUGAUGUUGAUAUUUGCAGGAAGCUGAGGUGAUAUCGCCAAGACUCUUGAAGCAUAUAAAGUGCCAAGGCUACAGGAAUCAACUCUAUCUCAGAAAUGGUGCUGAUAAAAUCUGUAUUUGGAAACACCGCAAAGCAGGAACGUGCUCCAAUUUUUGUGUUCUGGAGCAACUUGUCAAUGCGGAAGCAAGAGCCAGUCCAGUAAAGGACAGGACUUGACAGAUGUCACCUCAUGGCCAAGGUGUCCCACCUCUUGUCUUCUCUUGACCCAGCCUCCUCAUAGUCAAAAAUCGUAGUCGCUGUGAGACUUGAAAUACAUUAAUCAAGAGAGAGAUUUCCUGAUAUGUUAUUGGUCUAUGAAGCUGUCCAGCCUUCCUGUCUGAAUUUUGGUUUAUUCAAGUUUACCCCAAUAAUACUGGGUUAUCUUUUUUACUCCUAUCAGUUUGCCAUAGUUUGUAAAUGGUAGAAGUGAAUAAAAUUCUUCAAGAAUAAGUUCUGCUGCAAUGAUCCAUUUUACUUAAACGUGUGAUCAAACAAAAACGCAGCUUCUGAAGAACAUUUUAGAACACAAGCAAGAUCUGGCAACCUGUUAGAUGCCCUCAAUGACUGUAGUCUUACCACAGACUUUGAUCACAGCUUCCUUCGUCUCUUUUCAUGUUGCUUACAAAGUUACUCCGUGUAAAAAUGUAGUGUAUGAUUUACUUUAACCAAGGAGAUACGAAUUCAUUCUGAAGGCAGGAGAUGGCCAAUCUCCAGGCUCGAGUUGUGUGUAUAUCUUGAACGAUUUUGGAGCGGUUGCCGUGUAGAGGAUGUGCCAAGUGACUGACAGCAGGGCCACACCGGAGAACAUCGUUGUGCUAGUCACUGACUAUAUGGAAGUGGAAAGGUGACCUUCUGCAGUCAGGUUUCAUUAUUUCAGAAUUGAAGAUGAACUUUCCCCAAAAUUGUAUGGUAUAAUGGGUAUCUGUGCACUAACCCUCCCACCAGCCCUGUCUGCACACUUACAUUUUGAGCCAUCUGGAAGCUUUUAUGGGCCAGGAGCCAUACCCUGAAGCGGGACGGUCUUCUCUGGGGGAGCUGUGGUGGUUAUUGAAGGAAUUCAGCCUUUAUUUAGAGAUGAUCCAUCAGAGAUGGUUCCAACCACUGCUGAACCGCAGGUACUGCUCAGUUGCCGUUCUGCGACUGCCGCGUUACAUUGCAGUAUUUCAGGAGGAAAAGUGGAGAAUGACUUUUCCAUUUGAAGCCAUAUGAGGGGAUUCAGCCAGACAGCAUGUAAUUACCCUAGCUGGAGCCGGGCCAAGCGAGAGGAUCUGCGACUCCCCAUCUGCAGGCUUAUUUUCAGCACUUCAAAUGAGAGAUUGCACAGAACACGUUGAAAUUAAUGAAACAAACUUAGUUUCUGUCUGGACAUCUCCUCCAUCACGCCCACAUCAGACACAAAUAACUCAUAAGUACGGUUUUUCCCUGGACUGCCCUGCAAAGGCUGAGCUUACAAACACAAAUGAAAGAGCAGCUGGAGGCAAGAGGACUUUCCCAUUCAUUCAGGCUGAAGUCAAAUGGCAAACGUUAGCUUCAUUUCAGUACAACAGGAUGAAUAACAUGGUGCUCAACCAUCUUCUGCAGAAGGUUCUUGUUUGAUGUACCCCUUCUGGGAGCCCCAGUGGCAGCAUCGCUGUCUGCAGCAGUCAAAAGCAGCCGUGUCCGGCAAAGCAAGUUACGUGUGGUGGAGUUAGACUCAACUCCAUCCUAGCUCUCAGCUCUUCCUACCUGAAUGAUCUGGAUUUGCUAUUACUGGUGUAGACCUAAAAAUAUCCCUCCCUCCUCUUCCAACGCUACACCAUGCAGACCUGAAAUGACCCUAUAUUAGAGGGGUCCAAUGGAGAAGAAAAAUGGCAACGAGGCAUGGAGAAUGCUUCACUACCGUAAAUUUGGGAAGAUCCUGUAAAAUUUUGUUUCAAGAUAGGAUAACGCCUUUCUCGAUGCCUUAGGGCCACCAUCACCAUAAGCCACAAUUGUUGGUUUUCAUCAGGUUAGUUUGUAUCUGGAUCAGAUCCCUUGCUCUGCUUUGCUAUGCAGCUGUAGAGAUGCUUGAGCUGAAACGAACUGAUAGGACAGGAUAGGGCAGGGCAGGAAUGGCUGUUUUGGUGGCAGAGCCAGCUUACAUCGAUUUAAAGUGAUCACAGAACUGUCAUAUGAGAUAGGUGAUUGCUAGUGUUCUCCGCUGCUCAUGGUCAAGGACACACCUACAACUCUUUGGUCAUUUAACCGAGUGUUUUCCUAAGCUCAUUUGUGUAUAGGUGACAUAUAUAAGCGAAAGUGAAUAAAGAAAACUGGUGUGUCAAAUAGCAAGAACUUGUAUACUGCCAAGUCACAACUGUGGUUUUUAGUAUAUAUAAGCUAUAAGAGCAUCUAAUUUUCCAUUCUUCCGGCUGGGUUUGUAAAUGCGAAUAUGAAAUAAAUGACCCAUUAUCAAUGUGUUCCCACAGAAUAACUUCAACAACAGUACAAGAUGCAAUCCACUUGCAAAUGUCUAAUCCAGUUAUUCUGUGGAUUGUUUUAGAUAGCCUUCCUGGGGUGAAACAACCAUUUUUAAAAAGUGGAUGGUCAAAAUUUAACACGUUGAGGAGCACAGGCUCCCCUCCUGUUUCCCUGUGCUUGUGAACUGAGUUUACAGGGAUGGUGGGUGUCAUGCGGUACUGGAUAUAUUUUGCUUCACCUGCCAUACGCCUUAACUCACCACAGUGUUUUGCAUCUGGGUCAGCUGUAUUUUUAUCAAGCAUUAACAUGCAUAAGGGUUUGCCAGUGCUUAAUAAAAAUGCUACUGAAAACUGCAUUCUUCCAUCUCUUUAUUGAAGCGGAUUAUAUUGUGUUUGAACUGUGUUUGAACUGAAGGUAGACUCAUGUGAAAACUGUUGUAUUCAUAACCCACGCCCAAGCAAUAACAAAGAGCCCAGUUAAUGAAAAUCACUCAAAGGAAAUCACUGCCCACCCCUUCCAAGAUCAAUUAGAAAGAUUAUUCCAGCAUCCCUAAUGCUGCCACGCUGCUGUUGUACUGUAAAGCACCUCUUCCCUUUAGAAGGCCAAGGCAGGGAGUCUGACAAUAAUGUGUAAUAAACAGUGCUGGGGAAAAAAGCACUUGUGGUGCUAUUACCACCAUAAAUUCCUACAGCAAAGGACAACACUUGGACAGCGUAAAUAUACAGGGUCUCCCUGUGAGGCUCACGUUCAAAGGAGCGCAAGAAUGGAAGGUUUGGGGGCAAAAGCUGCUGCCCAAAGCUGGAUGGGAAAGUUUGAACCACCUAUUCAGACAAAGGCUGGCAAAACUCUUUCCCAGGGGGUUUCUGUCUUUGCAGGGCUCCUCAGCGUGGCUUCCUAACCCUCAGUAAAUCAAGGAUCAGCUGGAAGAUGACUGUUCCUCCAAAUAGAGAAGAAAACAUCCUUUCUGGCAGUACACCAGCAAAUUCAGAUGCUGUAACAUCACAACAGAUGGAGUAGCUGCCAGAGAAGAAAUGCUAUGUGUAGAGUGGGGAAUCCAAUGUUUUGCUGCGUAGCCAUAAGCACAGCAGUGUGGGCAAACCCUCAGCUGCUGGGACGUGAUGAUGCUCCACUGGCUUCAGAUGUACAGCAAAUUAUACUAGUUGAGAGGCUGGCUUUGAUGCGGAUCUUCCGGCUUCUAAAUUUCUUUGUCCUCCUCCCCUUUCUCUUCCCCUCUUGUGUCUCUCUUGACAGCAACAGGUUUCUCUCAGGGAUUUUUUUUCCCCACUGCAUCAGAAGGGGAGACUGAGAUUUAAUGAUGCAGAGCUGAAUGCUGGAGUUUCUUAAUAAUUGCCAAAGGUCUUAAAAUCUGAAACUCUAGGAUUUAUCGAUAAUGAGAAAGUCAGAACCACUUUGAAUAGUUGUGAUACUAAUUGUUCUACCAAAAAUAGCCAAUUUUUUAACUAUGUGAAAAAUUAAUAUUGCCAAAACAUUAUUUUUCAUUGCAAAAAUGCACCAAUCCUUUAAACAGCGUUAAAGAUAUGAUUCAUUGACUUAUGCAAAUGAAAAGUGUUCAUAAUCAUUUUGGUAAAUAUUUCAUUUUAGUGUAAAUACAGAGCCAUUUUAAACUGCAAACAUAUCCCAAGGCAGGUAAGGUUUAUUUCAAACAGUUCAUAACACAAAGAGCUGUUGCAUUUUCCAAGUGAAUCUUCCUUCUGCCCACAUCUGGAGGUUAAAAGGGAGGAGAGAGAAGAGGCCAAACUUUUUUUCUCAAAUGGUCAUGACUAAAUCACUGAAUAACUACCUUUUGCUCUUUACAGGUAUUGUAAAUAUUCUAAUAUGCAGCGCGAUUCACAGGCUGCACUGUGAAGGGAAAAGUGCCCCAACCCAAGUAGCUAGGAACAGAAAUUAUAAAUAGAAAUCUUAAUUAGCCCUGUGUUUAAAUAAGAGGAUUUGUGGAGCACAGCAGGAGUAACUGAGGCAUUGGUUCCCUUUGAGCUAAACCCUCGCUCUUUGCUCGCUAGCCAUACAAUUCAUUGCCGUAACACAUUACGAUGCAUGUUAAUUCCUUUGAAAUACGUUUCAACCCAUUGUACUUCCAAAAUCACCAAACAGUUGAUUUAGCUUUAUGUGCUUACGCGUUGUUGGAAAGAUAGGACAUUUCCUAUUUGACUUUGUAGCUUUCACUAAUCACAUACUUCAGAUUUCCUGUCUGAGCAGUUAAUAAAAGCUUAUGAACUUCUGACUCGUGUGAUUGCAAUCAGGAAAUGUGUUUCUUAAACACGGAAGGUGCUUGCUUUUGUCAUGCUAGAAGACGGAGAAACUUCCACUAAUUCCCUCCACUGAUAAUUUUUAUCUUUGCUUUGCUUGCUGCUUACGGCCGCCUUCGUCAAAGGGCGCUGCACAGACCGCUUGCGCUUGCAGAGCGCUAACGAGCACUCGGUGCAGUCGGUAGCUGCUGGAAAUGGCUUUUAACAGUUUCAUUGCUGUCCACAGCAGGUGAAUCCAACUCACCUAGAAAGGGGUUAUAAAUGCAAGGGAAGUGGUAGUUAUGGGCAGUGGGACUGCCCCUGCGCUAACACUGCAAACUGCCGCAUGGCUGUGUGAGGCUGCAGGGGCUGUGAUUUUGGGGAGUUUGUGGUCCUCUUUGCCAUGCUAGAUCUGUUUGUCCACACUCUCUUCUCCUUCCCCCACUACUUCAUUUCUACAUGGCUGUUCAUAACCACCUCAAUCCCCUCCCUGGGGAGGGAAAUCUCCUGGUGUGAUGGGGAUCACCUGUCCUCCCCUGCACAGCUUCCUCAGGGUCCUCCUCUCCCACCUAGGAAGCACAUGAGAGUCCUGCCCUUCACUAUUUGUGGUUAAAAGCUUCCUGAAUUCCAUAGGACUCCUCUUCAAUAACACACCAGUUUUCACUAAAGGUCAAAGUUCUCAUUGAACCCAAAGACCCCAAAGAGCUUUGCCCAAAGCCCUCAAGUUUGUUUUUCAGCCAAUGCUAUCAAGCAACCAGAAGAAAGAAAGUGGAGAAGGGGAUAUUUUCUACAUACUGUUUCCCUCAGUCUUCUGCCGUGUGUGUAUUCAACUUUAUUUUUCUUACUUUGCAACAAUUCUUUCCCUCAGAUAGGGGGACUGCUGAUUUCUCUUGCUGCUUUUCUAAUGAGUCUCUUCUGGAUUAUCUCCAUAUUCCCAGAGGGUUUAUACUUGCGUCUCCCAGAGGAGAAGCGUCUCCCUCUGUGCUUGUAUUGGGUCUGGCUGAGAUGGAGUUAAUUUUCCCCAUAGCAGCCCUCACAGUGCUGUGCUGAGUAUUGGUAGCGAGCAGGGUGUUGGUAACACACCAGGGUUUUGGCUGCUGCUGAGCAGCAGUUGUUCCUCCAACAUUCCCCACCACCACCACCACCAGUAGGCAAGAUCUUGGGAGGGGACACAGCCAGGACAGCUGACCCAAACUAACCAAAGGCAUAUUCCAUACCAUGUGAUGUCUGGUCAGCAAUAAGAGCUAAGGGAAAGGAGGAGGAAGGGCGUGUGUGUGUGAUUGUUUUUGCAACGUUUGUCUUCUGGAGCAACCACUACGCAUACUGAAGCCCUGCUUCCUGGGAAGUGGCUGGACAUCGCCUGCUGAUGGGAAGUAGACAAUAAAUCUUCUGUUUUUCCUUUGCUUCUGCAGGCUUUUGCUUUAUUAAACUGCCUUUAUCUUGACCCACAAGGGUUUUUUUCCAUCCUAUUUUCUCCCCCGCUGUCCUGCUGAGGAGGGGAAUGGACACCUGGCCUCCAGCCAAGGUCAACCCACCACAGUGCUCUUCAGGUGGGACAGGACUGUUUGCAUAGCUGAAAACAGUUUUGUUUCUCACAUUGGCUUUGCUUAUAUCUAAUUUGCUGCCCUCUGUUAACACUUAGGCACUUUAAGAGCUAUUGCUUACCAAUGUACGCAUUUGCUGUUGUUUUUUGCUAAAUGCAUUUCAUUUUGCCCUUCUGAGAGGUAUCUCGUUAUCCCAAGUCCUGCACAAAGCCAGAAAGAAGCUGGUGUCCUGCCUGCACGCCCCUCUCGCAGAGCAGCGCUGCAGAGCGGCUCAGAUGAAGGGUACGGGCUUUUCCCUCAACCAGAAGUUGUUGUGUGGCACGGCACCAGGACCAACAGCCUGGCUUGUUAGCACGAAACUCCCCGCAAAGCUUGGAAAGUGAAAUCCUGGAGUCACCAGGGACUUUUUACCAAUAACAUCAGCAGACUCAGGAAAUCACCCACCACCCUCUUCAGCAGUUGAAGAUGGGGUCCUGCUGGCUUUGUGCUUUGCUCAGCACUUUCAGUUCAGGGUUGAAAUCAAUCAUUUGGCUUUAGAUUCAGUUUUAGUACUUCCUCGAGGUUUCCUGGAAAACCUUAGACAAACAAAUAGUGCCUACAUGAUUUGUAACCCAGAAGAGGAACAGCCACAUCUUUCUCAUGGGAACAGGAGAGCAUCACUGCUGCAGCGGACACCUCCCUACCUCUCCCCAUGGGACCUGGGGAGCAGAGAGCACCGAGGGAAUAACCUUCAGUCUGCAAAACAUAAAUAAUAUCCAGACUGCAGGCCCUUGCCUACAUCUGCUCCCUGCCGCUACCGAGGUGUCGCAGGCUCUGCAGAGCUGAUGCUACCUCUGGACUCCCAGCUCGGAGCUGUUGCUUUUUUCCUUUGGCACCUCGCAGCAUUAUGGUGUAUUACAGCUGGUCUCCAGAUGUACCAUACUGUAAGAUCUUGCUUUAAGUAUUCCCUGAAGAUAUACACAGCUUUUACAAGUUUUAAAAUGCUAAUAAAAAGAUUAGCAUCAUUAUUUAUUUGGUUGAUAUUUUCUCCCUGAUGCACCCGUGUCUGACCAGACAUACAUAUACAGGCCAGCAUUUUC